CUCCGGUAGGUGAACCUGCGGAAGGAUCAUUA
rnacentral:rRNA from 2 species